AACAAACGCUGGCGGCGUGCCUAACACAUGCAAGUCGUACGAGAAAGUCCGCUUCGGUGGAUUAGUAAAGUGGCGCACGGGUGAGUAACGCGUGGAUAAUCUACCCUUUAGUCUGGAAUAACUUAUCGAAAGGUGAACUAAUACCGGAUAAUAUCCCGAUUUCUUCGGCGAUCGGGAUCAAAGAAGGCCUCUGCUUGCAAGCUUUCACUGAAGGAUGAGUCCGCGUACCAUUAGCUAGUUGGCAGGGUAAUGGCCUACCAAGGUUAUGAUGGUUAGCUGGUCUGAGAGGAUGAUCAGCCACACUGGAACUGAAACACGGUCCAGACUCCUACGGGAGGCAGCAGUGAGGAAUAUUGCGCAAUGGGGGCAACCCUGACGCAGCAACGCCGCGUGAGUGAGGAAGGUUUUCGGAUUGUAAAGCUCUGUCGAGCGGAAAGAAGUGCAUGGUGGUUAAUAUCCAUCAUGCUUGACGGUACCGCUAAAGGAAGCACCGGCUAACUCCGUGCCAGCAGCCGCGGUAAUACGGGGGGUGCAAGCGUUGUUCGGAAUCAUUGGGCGUAAAGCGCGUGUAGGCGGCUUGACAAGUCAGAUGUGAAAGCCCUGGGCUUAACCCAGGAAGUGCAUUUGAAACUGUCAGGCUAGAGUAAGGGAGAGGAAAGUGGAAUUCCUGGUGUAGAGGUGAAAUUCGUAGAUAUCAGGAGGAACACCGGUGGCGAAGGCGACUUUCUGGCCCUAUACUGACGCUGAGACGCGAAAGCGUGGGUAGCAAACA
rnacentral:rRNA from 1 species